GUUUGACUGAGACUGAACAUGGCCUUUCGGGUCCAAGUCCAAGCCCGGACUCUGGAACCCAGACGACGACUUUGACGGCGAGGGUUGGGGCGAGCGUCUCUUCUUCUACAUCGAUUUGGCGUUUCGCCUUCUUCUCGUCUUCUCUGUUGAACGUCCCGUGGCUCUGAUUCUGCCCUAGGUACGUUUCUAUGGCUGGUUUUCUCUAGAUCUUACAAUGAUGACAACUUUGAUUUAUAUUCUCUGGUAGUAUAUGAUGCCUUUGGUGGUUUUAGAUUUUGUCUUAAUUUUGAGUUGAACUUGAUAUAUUUAGGGCUGAUUCGAGAUUUUAUUAUAUGGGUUUUCCUUCUGAACUUGAAAUGCAAUAAUCCUAAAUCAAGUUUAGGAGAAAUAUGAAGCUCCUCACAAACCCCUCACCGUUGUGUUGUGGGUAGUGACAACUGGGGCGGUGUGGCUGCCAAGCUCAUUGCUUUAACACCCUCAAGCUCUCUUCUUUUCAUGUAAUUUCUAUUUUUAUCGUUUGUUUUCUACAUUUCCGUUUUCUUUUUAGAUGCAAUGCAAGUCAUAAUUUUGGUUUAUCCAUUAAACUUCUAUGUUUGCAUUUGGUUGCUGUUGAGAAACUGAAUAAAUUCCUAAAGAAUGUUGUUGUGCCAAUCCGCAUUUUCAAAUUUCAUUUGUCUGCCAAUGCCAAUAAAUAAAAUUCUUUAAUUAGCUUUUGCAAGCCAAAACCUUUCAAAUUUAGAUUGCAGAAAAAUGAUCAUUCGAAUUCGAAAGGAUGACACAACUUGAAUUUGAAAGUUGUCAUUGGGCAUAAGAUUGUUGGAAUGACAGUUUUGUUGCAUUAUGCUGUGUAAUAGCACCCUGAGAGUAUGUUUGUUUUGUCUGAAUUUUGUUUUGGUGCAUUAUGCUGUGUAAUAGGCUUCUGAGUUUUUUCCUGAGAGUAUAUCUUCUCAAAACUGAAAACAACGAAGAAUUAUAAAAAGAAUUACAGAGACAAUUGUAGAAGGAGAAGAUUGUUGUUAUUUCUGAUGAUAAUGAGAGUUUUACAAGAAUGGUUAACCUUUAUACAGUUAACACCUUGAUCUUGAACUAAUUGACCCAACGAACUCUCUAGCAGACUUCUAACAAACCCAUAUAAGCAACUAAUACAGAAUGACACUUGUCAACAUUUUAUAAUGACAAAUGUCCUUGCUAUACUAUAAAAAAACUCAUGGAACCAUACAAAGUCUCUUCUCAAUAGUAUGCAAUAUGCAGUUCAUUGUUAAUUUACAAGCAUUGGCAUUUGGAUUUUCUUUCUUUUUCUUAUAUGAACUACCAAAUAUGAUUCAAAUAUCUGGUGUCGGAUCUUCUGCCGACACCUUAGAACAUCAUGUACAUAGUCAAACCCUACAUUAUUGUUCGAUUAUCAAGAAGGCCAACCAAAUUGCUUACAUUACAUGCAUUUGAGGUGGGAAAACCUUUAUUAUUUCAUGCAUUGGUCCGACUAGAUUCGGACAUUUCACAUUUUGCAUUAUCAGUCUGAUUUGUGUUUCUUGGUUUAUAAUUUUUAUAUGAUAUUAAUUAUUCUGUUCAUUUUUGGUGCAGCUUGAUGAUAAUUCACUAAAUCGCUUGUUCUUUUAUCUUGCAGUUUUGGGGGCAUGCAACCGCGGGUUCCAUCUUCAUUGCAUCAAUGGGUAAAUUCACAUACUUCUCAGGCAUUUGCCCCAUGUGUCGCAGGAAGUGGCAAUUAAAAGGUUGAGAAAAAAACAUUGGAAUCACUCCUUCAAGUGCAGGGGUUCCAAUUGUUAUACUGGUUGAUGUAAAGCGAACACCUCCAGUGUAUAUCUAUUGAGUAUUAGUUUAUGUAAACAAAAGUAGCUCCAUCUCUAGGUUUCAAUUUUUUACCGUUUAUUGUAUUCCUCCAUAAACCACAUUUUUGUUUAUUCGGUCUGAUGAGCGAUCCCCAGUGAGCAUAAAUAAAUUUUUGAUGGG
rnacentral:lncRNA from 1 species